CCAAUUUUGAUUUAUGAAUAAGGGAAGAACGACUUUUAGUAUUGAGUGGAGAACUUGUGGUGAUUGGUUGUGUUAUAACUUGCUUUCUUGGUGUUGAUGAGUUAAAUAUGAUUUAAAUUUCAAGCUAAAGCAUGCUAAUGUGUAGUAAGAUGAUGUAUUUGAGAUCUUAUAGCUUUUAUUUGGCCAAAAUAUGAGUUAUAUGUUGAGUUUCAACAGAAACUGUAUUGCUGUCAAGUUUGGCUGGACAAACCAAUGUCUUGUGAGGGAUUUUCGAGAGUGUUCCUAUUGUCCAAAUAACUUGAAAUUUUUACUGUAAUAACUUCAGCAUGAGUAGGAGGUUUCUGUAAAAUUUCAGCUAAAUUGGACACCGUUUGAUAUGUCAAACAAUUUUCUUAAAAGUACUGCGCGAAGCAGCAAGGUUCUGUGGCAGAUUCUGCAUUUUGUGAGAUUAUUUCUUAUACACUUGAGAAGAUAUUGUAUUUUUGUAACUUUCUAAUAAAGAUAGACUUUAAUAGCUUUCUUAAAAGGUAAAGCUUGCAUUUUUCUUUGAAAAUGUUGAUUUUAUAUGAUUUUUCAAAGUUGAGAUUCAUGUUUCUUACUUGACAAAGUUAUGAAUAGAAUUAUGCUAAGUAAUUGAUGUUUCAGUUAUUCCCUUCUUCAUUCCCUCGGACUAUAUUCAACUAUACGGUAUAUAUGUAACGUUGUGAGAGAGAGCAGAGUUGAAAUAUCUCUUUCAUAUUUCUUUUAUUUAAGAAGCUCGGGUUGGCUAUGUUUUGCAGGUGAACUCGCUCGUGUUGGUGCAGGUUCAUUAUUGUGAUUGAGUUUAUCAUCUUGGCGGAUCAAGUAGAUGGGAGUCGAUGAGCUAUGAGGACUACUACAAACGAGAAGGCUGAAGCAGAGAACGUCGUUUCAAAUGUCUAGCAAGUUGCGCGCAUUUGUAAUAUUUUUUAAUUAAACAUCUAGCUAAAUAGAAUAUAUGUGAAGUUUUCAUUAUAUUUGGAUGAUAAUGUAUGAAUAUUUUGGAUGAUAUAUAAUAUUGUUAUUGUUCAUUUUAUCA